rnacentral:rRNA from 1 species
AUUCCAGCUCCAAUAGCGUAUACUAAAGUUGUUGCAGUUAAAAAGCUCGUAGUUGAAUUUCUGGUCGUGGCAGCCGGUCCGCCCCUCACGGGGUGUGCACCUGGUUUCUGCAGCCAUCCUCGCGGAGAGCGCGUCUGUCGUUAACUCGUCGGGAGCGGGAUCCGCGUCAUUUACUGUGAGCAAAAUAGAGUGUUCAAAGCAGGCUUAGGCCGUUGAAUACAUUAGCAUGGAAUAAUAAGAUAGGACCUUGGUCUAUUUUGUUGGUUUGUACUCCAAGGUAAUGAUUAAUAGGGAUAGUUGGGGGUAUUCGUAUUCAAUUGUCAGAGGUGAAAUUCUUGGAUUUAUGGAAGACGAACUACUGCGAAAGCAUUUACCAAGGAUGUUUUCAUCA